CUGCUACUGUUCUCCGUCCGGAAAUACUUGUCAAGGAAAUGGAUAAAGAUGGAUGUAUCUGGAAAUAAAAUACGUCUAGAUACAUCCAUUAUUCUUCUGACAAGUAUUUCUGUCUGGAGGGGGUAUAAU
rnacentral:pre_miRNA from 1 species